GACGAACGCUGGCGGCGUGCUUAACACAUGCAAGUCGAACGGAAAGACCCGGAGUUUGUUCCUUUCUCGAUUGGCGCACGGGGGAGUAAAACGUGAGGAAAAUCCCCCUAAAAUUGUGGUAACAUCUCGGGACAGCGGCGAAUACACCGUAUAAUAUACUGAAGCGUAUGGUUGGAUAGUGAAAUACGGCUUUUGUGGCUCGUCUAGAUGGAUAUGCGCCGCAUUGUCUAGUUGGUAAGGUAAAGGCUUACCAAGGGUAAGAUGCGUAGCCGACCUGAGAGGGUGGUCGGCCACACUUGAACUGAGACACGGUCCAGACUCCUACGGGAGGCAGCAGUAGGGAAUCUUCCGCAGUGGGCGAAAGCCUGACGGAGCAACGCCGCGUGAGUGAUGAAGGUCUUCGGAUCGUAAAACUCUGUUAUUAGGGAAGAACAAAUGUGUAAGUAACUAUGCACGUCUUGACGGUACCUAAUCAGAAAGCCACGGCUAACUACGUG
rnacentral:rRNA from 1 species